rnacentral:rRNA from 1 species
AAUCAACGCUGGCGGCGUGCCUCAGACAUGCAAGUCGAACGAUUAAAGCUCUCUUCGGAGAGUGCAUAGAGUGGCGCACGGGUGAGUAACACGUAAGUAAUCUACCUUCGAGUGGGGAAUAACGUCCGGAAACGGACGCUAAUACCGCAUAAUGCAGCGGCAUCGCAAGAUGACAGUUGUUAAAGAUUUAUCGCUUGAAGAGGAGCUUGCGGCAGAUUAGCUAGUUGGUAAGGUAAUGGCUUACCAAGGCUACGAUCUGUAACCGGUCUUAGAGGACGGUCGGUCACACUGACACUGAAUAACGGGUCAGACUCCUACGGGAGGCAGCAGUCGGGAAUUUUGGGCAAUGGGCGAAAGCCUGACCCAGCAACGCCGCGUGAAGGAUGAAGUAUUUCGGUAUGUAAACUUCGAAAGAAUGGGAAGAAUCAAUGACGGUACCAUUUAUAAGGUCCGGCUAACUACGUGCCAGCAGCCGCAGUAA